AACCUAUUGGUUGAGUGAAUCAGUGAAUCAAACUAAUGCAAGUCUUGAAGGUUAGUUAGACUGAGGCAUUUGGAAUAAAUAUGAUAGCAGGAGAAAAUUCACUAGGUCUCUUGAGUAGAAAAUUUUGUUGGCUGUGUUAUCUAAGGAAAGUGAUUUGUGUUAAUAAUUAUGAUAACUACUUUCAUGCAUUUAAAUUUUACUUUGAAAAUUCCUAGUCAUCCUUCUGGACCUAGUAUAACAGACAGUAGCCAUGUUUAAUCUCCCCAGAUGCCUCAGGAUAGAAUUAACCCUCAUAUCUUCUCAGGGCCUCCUUUUGGCCAUAGAUUCUGUUCCUGCCUCUAUCAUACUGAUGACUACUAAGUUUUUAUGUGUUUGUCAGCUGCACUAGACUGGGCCUCUUAAGACAGGGGACCCCAAGGUCUGGUUUCUGUACCUCCUUCACCUGACCUUAUACAUAGCAUAAGUAAUUAACAAGUAUUUGAAUUCAGUCAGUGAAAGAAGGAAUCACAGAUUCUUUUAAGGUAUGGAACUAGAGAAAACUUAGAUUCCAGGUUGUGAAAAGUCUUGUAAAUUUGGUCACUGCAAGCCAAGUUGGAAGUCUUUCAGGAACUAGUAGGAAUGAGAGGUACCAGAAGACUAAAUUUGAACAAGUUUUCUUCUAACCUGAAAAGAAAUAAAAAAACAUAAAUCAGGGAAACUAUUUGACAAUAUGGUGCUAUACAGAUUUUCCCUGGGGAUUUUGCAAAAACUUCAUAUUAUCCAAGACCUAGGAUGUCUUUACCAAGAACAGGUCAUAAUGAAAUAGUCUCAUGUCUAUCUUUGACAGGGAUUUUUGAUUAAUGGAUAUGGAUGUGGAACUGAAGAAUAAAGAUGUCUCAUUGCUUGAAAUUUGGGGAGACCAAAGAGGAAGAAGGACUGGAUACAUGAAGGGAAAAUAAUAUGGCAAUUAAAAGUUAAAGUUAAGUCACACUUCUUUCAUUAUCUUAUUAUGUGACCUUUAGAAAGUCACAGAAACUCUUAAGAGUCUUAGUGUCCCCAUUUAUGAAACAGUGAUCAUAAUAUUUGCCUCAUAUGGAUUUUUUUAAGGACCAAAAUAAGAUAAUUGAAAGUAAAGUUUUUCAUGGGACAUACACAUGGAAAGGAGCCCACUGUAUGAGAUAAUUGUAUUUAUAUGGGUUUGUCUUAGUGUCCUCUAUUCUGUACCAUUGGUCUACAAGUCUAUUUUGGUGACAAUACUGUUUUUGUUACUAUCGCUCUCUGUAGUAUAGUUUAAGAUCUGGUAUUGUGAUGCCUCCUGCUUCACUUUUCUUGCUAUGGAUUGCUUUAGCUAUUCUGAUUCUAUGAAGAAUCGUGCUCUUGGUAGUAUGGCCAUUUUGACAAUAUUAAUUCUUCCUAUUCAGGAGCAUGGGAGAUCUUUCCAUUUUCUAAAGUUUUCUUCAAUUUCUUUCUUUAGUGUUCUGUAGUUUUUAUUUAGAGGUCUUUCACCUCUUUUGUUAAAUCGG
rnacentral:lncRNA from 1 species